CCCUGCCGCUGCUGCUUCUUUCUCUACUGCUUCUCUUCUUCAUAAAAAUAAAAAUAAAACGAAGAUUCAUUAACCAAAUCCGUCGAAGACAUCAAAUCUCCUCUACUCUCUUCAUCAGCACCAACUGAAAACGAAGAUUCACCAAAAAAAUCCGUCAACAACGUGUUUCUUCUACUGAUAUUGCUUAUCUUCUUCAUUAAAAAAAACGAAGAUUCAUCAACGAAAUCCACCAAAAAUAUCAGAUCUUCUCUAUUCUCUUCAUCAACACCAACUGAAAACGAAGAUUCACCAACAAAAUCCAUCAACAACAUCGAAGAUUUGUUUUGAAUCGAGAGUAAUUUAUGUUGUCUAAAGCAACUGUGAGGAUAAAAGAUGAUUCAUGGGAGGUAUGCAGGUUCAGAUAGUUGAUGUGGUCAGAAGAAUGAAAGAGAUUACAGAAAGGGUGAUCUGAUUUUGAUGGUUUUGACAUCGUUGCCUACUAAUCUGUGAGCAUCGCUUUUAGAUUGCACCUUUCUUUGUUAUGCAGACUGGUAAAUAUGCACAUAAAAAAAGUCUUCACAUCUUUAAUAUAUGGUUGUCUUACUACGUUGCCGAAAAGCUGAUCUAAAUUUGGUGAACAAAGUUUUGGAUUUUGCAAAACAAGAAUCAGUUUGGAAAGGAUGACCCCAGAAAGAUUAUUCAUUCCAUCAUGGUUGGAUUAACACUGUCACUGGUUUCUCUACCAUGUCGGCUACCUUAACAAUGUAGUCGUCUUCGAAUUUAGUGUUGGGGCUACGUUGGGUAAAGGAUUUAAUCGAGCAUUAGCAACAUUUUUAGCUGGUGCCUUAGGAUUUGGCGCUCAUCACUUGGUAACUCUAGAUGGAGACAAAGGGAAUCCAUCAACUCUUUGGUUAUUUAUCUUUCUUCUAGCGACUGUAGCAUCGUUUGUCCGUUUCUUUCCGGGGGUCAAAGCACGAUACGAUUAUGGGGUGUCGAUGUUUAUACUAACAUUCUGUUUAGCAUCGGUAUCUGGUUAUCAAGAAGAUGAGAUCUUAAAACUUUCUCACAAAAGGAAAAGCAAGCAGAUUUCUUACAAGGAUUUGGAGAACUAUAUUUCGGAACAAAGGGGGAUACAGAUAUGUCAUGGCUUCAUGGAUACAGAAGUGUUUUGAAUUCUAUGACAGCUGAAGAAGCAAUGGUGAGGAAAAUCUUUUUAAGUGUUCAUCUCUGGCUACUUUUAUUAAGCCCAUCCUUUCAAAUGAUUUGACCACCUACAUUAAAUUUUAAUAAGUUUAAUGGCUUACAUGUACCACAGUACCAGCCACUUGAUAAUGGAUUAAGACCUAAUUAACUAUGAUAUUUUCCAAUAAGUCUUGUGGCUUACAUGUAACACAGUAGCACAGCACCAGGCGUCUAAUAAUG